rnacentral:lncRNA from 1 species
GGGUGUCGUUUGGAGUAGUGGGUCUAGCCAUUGAUGGACUAUCCCACACACAAGCGAGUGAAGCGGGCAAAAGAGAACGACAAAGGAAGACAGCAAAAAGGCAAAAGCCAAAAGAAAACGGCAAAGGAGAAAGGCAAAAGAGAAAGGCAAUUGAAAACGGCAAAUGUGAAGUGGGGGAGAGGAAAACGAGAGGCAACUGGCAAAAAAAAAAUUAAAC